CAGAAGCAGCUUGCAUCCUCACCUCCUGACCUGGAGCCUGUGCACAGGCAAUAAUGAAAAGACCAAGUCAGCAGCGGCACUGACUGUAAACUGAAGCCAUGUCCAGGUGUGAGGAGCAGAGGCAGAAACCACCGAGGAAAGCUGCUUACGAGUUUGUUCCCUGUGACUUGCUCAGCUUGAGGUCAGAGAAGAGAGCAACUCUGGGAAGAUGACCUUUUGGGAACAACACGGAUGCUGCUCACGUGAAGAAAAUACAGAGCUCGUGGCCAGCAGACAACAGCUAAAGAAGAUUCUCAACUAGGAAAAGGUUGUAUUUCAGAACUUCUUCAGGCUAUACAACAGUGACUAUCGUUCUGUCAACUUUGCUCUAUUGCCCACGAUUCUCCUCUGACCGUGAUGAAGACUGGGAAGGAGGCAGUGGGAUAUGGGGAAGAUGUGCCAAGAGAUGUUGCCUGGAAGAUGCCGAGAGGAAUGUCACUCACCUGUAGGAUGGUUAGUCCUGAUUGUCAAGGUGAUUGGAUUUGGAAGAGAUUGGUGAGUUAUACCUCCGCGGUGGCUGAGAGAUUUCCACAGAGGAGUAACUGAAAGGGAAAAGCCUCUGUCAUGAUGGACUGCGACAGCCCAUGGGCGGAAAUCUGACAAAGUAAAAGGGGCAUAUGCGCAUGGGGGUGGGCGUCAAGAGGAUCGGACCGACUUCGACCAUGUUUCAACCACCACAAACUCUGCCAUGCCUUUCUGGCCAUUAUGGACUAAAGUCAUCUAGACCGUGAGACAAAGCAAAGUUUCCCUCUGAUGAGUUAUUCCUAUGGGGUAUUUUGUGUCAUAUACACAAAAAUGACAAACACACCCUGCCAACAAUAUAUCUUAAAGCUUGGCCUUAGUCCCAGUAUGCCACUUACCAGCUGGGGAACUUUUGAGCUACACAGGACCUCAGUUUCUCCAUCCGUAAAAAUAGUUAUAGUAAUUUUGGCCUUGUAAAGAAUUAGAGAUUAAUCUAUGUAAUGGAUAUUAUCAUUAGUAAUAAUAUUUACUGAUUAUAUGUGCCAUAUAUUUUCAUGCACAUAACAAACCAGCCGAAAACAUAAAUACGAAGCCAUACUUGUAUUUUUCUAAUUAGUUUUCCGUAGCAGAAAAUUAAUAAAGAGAAUGAAAUCAGCAUUUUUCCUA